ACAUGUACCUUGCUUUAGUCUUUAGUGUUAGAGAACACACUAGCAUGUGCAUGCACACGUGCACAUACACAGUAAUAAAUAAAACUCAAAUUAAAUAAAUGGUGAACAUUGAGUAAUACAAAGCCCAAACUAUGAGUCAAAAUGUUAAGUCACUCAAAUGACUUAGCGUCACUCACUUCCAUAAAAUGCAACUUUAAAAAUUGUCACUCAGAAAUUCCCAGCGGUGAGAAUAUUAAACUUACAAGUCAGAAGACCCAAGCAGAAGACCCCAGUUCAUCACUGGGACGGCUGUGGGCAUAUCAACGCCUUGUCUUUUUGAACUCAGAAGUUCCCAUGGUGAUCGGAUGAUCUUUACGUUACAGUGAUUUUUAGAUGCUAACUUGAAAUACGAGAUAUCAACUCCCUUUAUAAGCUGUUCUCCUUGGCAUGGAGUUGCUCACAGUUGGUUAACACUCACACCUCUGAGAAUUAAGACUAUACAGUUUAGAUUAUAAAUCUUUCCUUUUUUAACAAUCAUUUUAGGAGCUGGAGGAAUGGAUCAGCAGGUAAAGUGUUUGCCACACAGGACCCGAGUGUGAUCCCCAGAGCUCUUGUAAAGAUAGAGGGAAGGAAAGAUCCAAUGCCCCAUAGUUGUUCUCUGGCCUCUGUGUGCACACCUGGCCACACGUGUCCCCAUAGGUGUAUACCAUAUGCACACAACUGCAGCAAUAAUAAUUAUUAUUAUAAAUAUUUCUAUAUUGCAUAUAAUAAAAUAUAAAUUCUUUAAAAAUUUAUGUAAACUGACUUUGGUGUGUUGCAGACCUAUAGGAAAGGGCUACUUCCCUGUAUCUUUGCUUUCUUUUUGACCCUGCACACACAACUCUGUCAAUCCCCCACAAGGAAGAGUGACUUUUACUUCUGUGGUGGUGGUGGUAGUGGGUGGAGAGUUCUUCUGAGGCUCUGGAACACAGCAAAUUGAUUUUGAUUAAGUUGACUAGAUAAUAAAAAUGGUAUUUUUC
ensembl:lincRNA Gm43452 predicted gene 43452